rnacentral:rRNA from 1 species
UACAGAGGUCCCAAGCGUUGUUCGGAUUCAUUGGGCGUAAAGGGUGUGUAGGUGGCGCCGUAAGUCGGGUGUGAAAUCUGGGGCUUAACUCCGAAACUGCAUUCGAUACUGCGGUGCUUGAGGACUGGAGAGGAGACUGGAAUUCAUGGUGUAGCAGUGAAAUGCGUAGAGAUCAUGAGGAAGACCAGUGGCGAAGGCGGGUCUCUGGACAGUUCCUGACACUGAGACACGAAGGCCAGGGGAGCAAACGGG